rnacentral:rRNA from 1 species
GAUGAACGCUGGCGGCGUGCCUAAUACAUGCAAGUGGAACGCUGAAGCUUGGUGCUUGCACCGAGCGGAUGAGUUGCGAACGGGUGAGUAACGCGUAGGUAACCUGCCUCUUAGCGGGGGAUAACUAUUGGAAACGAUAGCUAAUACCGCAUAAAAGACGAUAUCGCAUGUUAUUGAUUUGAAAGGUGCAAUUGCAUCACUAAGAGAUGGACCUGCGUUGUAUUAGCUAGUUGGUGAGGUAACGGCUCACCAAGGCAACGAUACAUAGCCGACCUGAGAGGGUGAUCGGCCACACUGGGACUGAGACACGGCCCAGACUCCUACGGGAGGCAGCAGUAGGGAAUCUUCGGCAAUGGGGGCAACCCUGACCGAGCAACGCCGCGUGAGUGAAGAAGGUUUUCGGAUCGUAAAGCUCUGUUGUAAGAGAAGAACGAGUGUGAGA